GAUGAACGCUGGCGGCGUGCCUCAUACAUGCAAGUCGAGCGAACGGCCCAGAAGCUUGCUUCUCUGAUGUUUGCGGCGGACGGGUGAGUAACACGUGGAUAACCUACCUAUAAGACUGGGAUAACUUCGGGAAACCGGAGCUAAUACCGGAUAAUAUUUUGCAUCGCAUGGUUCAUCAGUGAACGACGGUCUUGCUGUCACUUCUAGAUGGAUCCGCGCUGCAUUAGCUAGUUGGUCAGGUAACGGCUUACGAAGGCAACAAUGCAUAGCCGACCGGAGAGGGGGAGCGGCCGCCUGGGAACGGAAGCACGCUCCAAGCCCCUACGGUAGGCAGCAGGAGCGGAGGGUCCGCAAUAGGGGAAAGCCUGACGGAACGACGCGACGAGAGAGAUGAAGAGCCCCCGAUCGGAAAACUCGGUUAUUAGGGAAGAACAUAUGUGGAAGGAACUGUGCACAUAGUGACGGUACCUAGUCAGAAAGCCGCGGCUAACUACGUG
rnacentral:rRNA from 1 species